rnacentral:piRNA from 1 species
UAAAGCAAAGGUGUUUAAUUGGCUCAUGGU